rnacentral:rRNA from 1 species
CAGCACUUUGCCAACUCGUAAGAGGAAGUAUAAGGUGUGACGCCUGCCCGGUGCUCGAAGGUUAAGAGGAUGCGUCAGUCGCAAGAUGAAGCGUUGAAUUGAAGCCCGAGUAAACGGCGGCCGUAACUAUAACGGUCCUAAGGUAGCGAAAUUCCUUGUCGGUUAAAUACCGACCUGCAUGAAUGGCGUAACGAGAUGGGAGCUGUCUCAACCAGAGAUUCAGUGAAAUUGUAGUGGAGGUGAAAAUUCCUCCUACCCGCGGCAAGACGGAAAGACCCCGUGGACCUUUACUACAACUUAGCACUGCUAAUGGGAAUAUCAUGCGC